rnacentral:rRNA from 1 species
GACAGAGGGUGCAAACGUUGCUCGGAAUCACUGGGCGUAAAGCGUGUGUAGGUGGUUGGGAAAGUCAAUUGUGAAAUCCCCGGGCUUAACUCGGGAACUGCUUUUGAUACUGUCUGACUAGAAUUCGGUAGAGGGAGGCGGAACUCCAGGUGUAGCGGUGAAAUGCGUAGAUAUCUGGAAGAACACCAAUGGCGAAGGCAACCUCCUGGGCCUGAAUUGACACUGAGACACGAAAGCGUGGGGAUCAAACAGG